rnacentral:misc_RNA from 1 species
GAUGAAGAACGCAGCGAAAUGCGAUAAGUAGUGUGAAUUGCAGAAUUCAGUGAAUCAUCGAAUCUUUGAACGCACAUUGCGCCCUUUGGUAUUCCUUAGGGCAUGCCUGUUCGAGCGUCAUUUAACACCUUCAAGCUCCGCUUGGUGUUGGGCGUCUGUCUGCUCACGCGGACUCGCCUCAAAAUCAUUGGCGGCCGGUACAUUGGCUUCGAGCGCAGCAGAAACGCGAACUCGAGGACGGUGGAUCAGCUCCCAGAAGCAAACCCCCCAAUUUUGACCUCGGAUCAGGUAGGGAUACCCGCUGAACUUAAGCAUAUCAAUAAGCGGAGGA